CGCAAGCCUGACGGAGCAACGCCGCGUGAGGGAGGAAGGCCUGUGGGUUGUAAACCUCUUUUCUCAGGGAAGAAGCUCUGACGGUACCUGAGGAAUCAGCAUCGGCUAACUCCGUGCCAGCAGCCGCGGUAAUACGGAGGAGGCAAGCGUUAUCCGGAAUUACUGGGCGUAAAGCGUCCGUAGGGGGCUCGUCAAGUCUGCUGUCAAAGCUCGGAGCUCAACUCCGACCCGGCAGUGGAAACUGGGGAGCUAGAGGGCGGCAGGGGCAGAGGGAAUUCCCAGUGUAGCGGUGAAAUGCGUAGAGAUUGGGAAGAACACCGGUGGCGAAAGCGCUCUACUGGGUCGCACCUGACCCUCAGGGACGAAAGCUAAGGUAGCG
rnacentral:rRNA from 1 species